CGUGGGAAAUGAGGAAGACGAUGGUGGAAGUUUGAGAGGAGAAGAAAGUACAGGAUCAGUAAGAAGAGACGAAGAAGAAGCAGAAACUUCUUCACCGCCUCCUCGUUGUCAUUUGUUGUCAAACUCUGCGCUGCCCUCUACUGGAUGUACGGGUCAAUGACAACGUAAAGGACGUACGUUAGCAUGUGGACAUCGUUAAACUGAUUCCUACGAACAGGAGCGUCUCCCUCUGACUGUCUGAGAGUAGCUCCUGUUAGCUAGUAGCUGCUGGGCUAACCUAGGUCGCUAUUUAAGACGUUUUCAUGUUUAAUGUUUGAAUAAACACGUGAACUGAGCUGAAAUGAGUCAAAGAGUUUUGAACACAAGCCUGAAGCCGCAGUUAGCACUUAGCACUUAGCUUACCUAGCUCCCCUCGGUGCAGCGGGGACACAGGAAGCAGCUGCAGGUUUAUUCCCACAAUCUGACAACGAACAUUUACUCCCGCCGAUCAGCUGAUGCUAAUGUUAGCCGCUAUCGCCGCCGCUUCCGGAACUUCUUCUUCGCUGACAUGAAAGAUGUCUCAGACCCACAACCAGUUAACCUCUGCAAAGUCUAAGACAGUCAAACCGCGCAAGGGAGCUGCUGCAGAGAGAAAAACUCUUAAGAACAACAGGUUUGUCGGCUCUACUUCCUGUUAUGUCUGCUGGGAGGAGGUUCUGCAGGUCCUCCCCUCAUCAGGUCAGGCCUGGCUGUGGGUGGAAGCUGCUAUGUAGAGAAGCAAAAACCUCCAACAUGCCAUCACCACACCAGAACGCCCCUCGCCAGCUUCACGCCACCCACAGGGGAGGAAGGUGGAGUAGGAAGAGGAAGAGGAGGAGGUGGAGUUACUGUCAGCUGACACCCUGCAAGUGUUUCAGAUUUAGAAGUAAGAAGUUGUGGGUCCAGCUGGGAUGUACAGCUGGGUGUCGUCUGCGUCACAGUGGAAGUGGACCAGGUGCUUUCUGAGGAUGUGGCCUAAAGGAGCAGAUAUAAGGUGAAGAGCACCGGUCCAAGGACAGAACACUGAGGAACUCCAUGACUAACCUGUGUGUGCAUGGAGGAGUCAGUGUUAACAUGAACAAAUGGAAAUCUAUGUGAUAAAUAUGAUUUAAACCAGU